rnacentral:lncRNA from 1 species
ACACAUGUUAAUAAUCUUUUAAAAAAUACUUAAAAUAUUUCUUGACCAAUUUCUCUUUCCUCGUGUGUUUCUCUUUCACAAGAAAACCAGAGGCACCGCCGUACUUCCAUUUUUCUCUUUCUUUCAAGACCCACUUUUUUUUAUCAUCUUUGUUCUUCUUUACCACUAUUUUUACCUACCCUAAAACUUUAUCACCAUUUUUUGGUUUUUAAGUUGUAUUUGUUUUGUUUGCUAUUGAAACACCAUUUUUACUGAUGGGUGUUGCCACUGUAAUAGUGGUCGGAAAAUGGAGGUCGCCAUCGUUUGCAUCUUUUAACGAGACCAAAUCUGAACGAAGAACCACCAACUUGCCGGAAAGAUCUGAGAGCCUUACCCAGUCGGAGAAGAUUGACCUCGUCGGCCAUAAUCUAACAAUGAAAGUAACGACCUAGAGGUCUCUGCAUUGCUUGAGGUUGUCGCCGGCAGACGAGUAAUAUCUGAGAUCUGCUUCAAGGAGGUAAAAGGGGGAGGAGAUGGCUGACGGGAGGCAUGGGAGAGAAAACGGAGCUGUGGUUGUCGCCGGAUUCCCAGGACGGCAAGGGCUCCAAAUAGGGAAGAAGGCCUGGAUAUUUUUUCUUUUCUUUUAACUAAUAAUUUAGAAAACAUUAAGGAGAAUAAAUAAGAUUUAGGAACGUGUGGUUGUAUAAGGAUUUGGACAGAUAAUGCAUAUGUUUCACGCGCCCAGUUUUUUUGUUAAGCACAUCUGCCAUAAUUAGUGUGUAUUAGAUAUAAUUUUAAAAAGUUGCGUGUCAUAUAAUAUUCAUUCUCAAAAAAUGUAUAACAAUGAUUUGAUAUAUAGGUCAGGGCUACUUAUACAUUUUGCGAUUUUUUUUUAAUAUGCUAAUGUUGUAAAAAGAAAUCUGCUAUACAUGAAAUAAGC